UGGGGAAUAUUGGACAAUGGGCGAAAGCCUGAUCCAGCCAUGCCGCGUGUGUGAAGAAGGUCUUCGGAUUGUAAAGCACUUUAAGUUGGGAGGAAGGGCAGUAAGCGAAUACCUUGCUGUUUUGACGUUACCGACAGAAUAAGCACCGGCUAACUCUGUGCCAGCAGCCGCGGUAAUACAGAGGGUGCAAGCGUUACUCGGAAUUACUGGGCGUAAAGCGCGCGUAGGUGGUUCGUUAAGUUGAAUGUGAAAGCCCCGGGCUCAACCUGGGAACUGCAUCCAAAACUGGCGAGCUAGAGUAGGGCAGAGGGUGGUGGAAUUUCCUGUGUAGCGGUGAAAUGCGUAGAUAUAGGAAGGAACACCAGUGGCGAAGGCGACCACCUGGGCUCAUCCUGACACUGAGGUGAGAAAGCGUGGGGAGCAAACAGG
rnacentral:rRNA from 1 species